AACCAGCACCUCGAGUGGUCAGGAGGUUUAUUGGGCCUAAAGCAUCCGUAGCCGGUUGCAUAAGUUUUCGGUUAAAUCUAUGCGCUCAACGUAUAGGCUGCCGAAAAUACUGUGCAGCUAGGGAGUGGGAGAGGUACACGGUACUCAAUAGGAAGGGGUAAAAUCCUUUGAUCUAUUGAUGACCACCUGUGGCGAAGGCGGUGUACCAGAACACGUUCGACGGUGAGGGAUGAAAGCUGGGGGAGCAAAC
rnacentral:rRNA from 1 species